rnacentral:rRNA from 1 species
AUUGAACGCUGGCGGCAUGCCUUACACAUGCAAGUCGAACGGCAGCACGGACUUCGGUCUGGUGGCGAGUGGCGAACGGGUGAGGAAUAUAUCGGAACGUGCCCAGUCGUGGGGGAUAACGCAGCGAAAGCUGUGCUAAUACCGCAUACGAUCCACGGAUGAAAGCGGGGGAUCGCAAGACCUUGAGCGAUUGGAGCGGCCGAUAUCAGAUUAGCUAGUUGGUGGGGUAAAGGCCCACCAAGGCGACGAUCUGUAGCUGGUCUGAGAGGACGACCAGCCACACUGGAACUGAGACACGGUCCAGACUCCUACGGGAGGCAGCAGUGGGGAAUUUUGGACAAUGGGCGAAAGCCUGAUCCAGCAAUGCCGCGUGCAGGACGAAGGCCUUCGGGUUGUAAACUGCUUUUGUACGGAACGAAACGGUCUCUUCUAAUAAAGGGGGCUAAUGACGGUACCGUAAGAAUAAGCACCGGCUAACUACGUGCCAGCCGCCGCCGUAA